UAAGCUCUUACAUGCAAUUACAGUAUGAAAUGGAAGACAUGUAGAGACAUAAUGAGGACACUGAAGCCCGUGUUAGAAUAAAGAUUUUUUUAAGGUCUUAAACAUUCUGCUAAUGACAAGUCAAACACAAAGUGAGUUUCUCAAUUAACUGGGAACCCUCUCGAGGACACCUGCAGGUCCCCAGACUCCAGUUUGAGCACGAGGCAGUUCCACCUCCCUGCAGCCCGAGACGCUCCAGCUGCAGGUUAAUAAUAGUGGAGCCUUCAGUAAGGUCGCAGGUAGAGUGGUGUUACCGCACUGAAGAGAAAAACUGCGACUUAUUAAGUUUGUUAAAAAAUCGUUAACAGUGCGCUACACACGGACAUGGCCUUUGGGCAUCUUAUCCCUCAGCUGAGGCUGGAGGAGCCAGCGGAGGACGGGAUGUUCAGGAGCAUCGCCUUCCGCCCCUUCCAGCAUGGACACCACCAGCGUGGGAAGUCAAGUUCUCCCGGCAGCGACAGAAAACGACACAGCCUCUUACUUCCUGCCUCCACAAGCCACGUUGCAAGUGACUUGGGUUUGUUCCUCUCCAAGGGCAUCACCACGGAGCCUGGCUCACCCAAGGGCCCCAGCUAAUGAGCCAACGCAGGGAAAUUGAUUUAGUCUCCACCUUCCUAUCUCCAUCCCUUGCAGGCCAAAGAUAAAACAUGUAAAAGCUCAGAAGAAGGCGGCUACUUGAGGGUGUCAUGCUGGAAAAAAAGAGAGACACAGAGGAGAGCAGCCUCAUUAUUGUAGGUACACAGUGGACACCAGCAGAUGUUACACAGCUGACCUGUGAUCCUGCCGGAGGAACAGAUGUGCAUGUACCUGUCAGACUGACCUCACAGGCAGCUUCUUGUAACAUCAGAGACCUCUUCAAACACUGCAGCAGAAACAAAUUAAAUGCCUAGGUUAUGUAAUUGUAGAAAUAAGUCAAAUCGCUGCUUAUAGGUUCCCACUUAAAAAAUAUUUUUAAGAUGUUUUAUUACUGCCUGAAUUUUUAUUCAAAACACGUAAUUAAACCAAGAUGAUCCACCCAUCAUUCUCACAAAUCUCUACAAACUAAUUUGUUCUGUGUAUUCAGGAGGAAGCAGCAGCAAAGCAAUUGUAACUGCACUGUCAGUAGAAGACAGUAAUACAUGAUAGUAAUAUUUCCUUAUUAGUACCACCUUUAUGUGUUUUGUGAAUACACUGAUUGCAACAGCCAUAAAGUUUUACCUUCAACACUGUGAUCAUGAACAGUGCAGAUAAUAAGGUGUGAUGAGCUCUAAGCAUGAAAGCCGUACAUUAUUCACACCUCGACUAUGGUUCUGAUGUUAAAGGUUGUGUUAAUACCUUUGGCUCAAAUAACAAUCCAAUUAAUUUUGACGAGGCCUGCAAUAGUAACAGUAACACACAGGACUGCAGCGUGUAACAAUUUACAUUAAUUUUCAGUUAAUAGGAAACAUUGUUCCCUGACCUUGUCUGUUAUUAGCUCACUUUGAUAACGUGAAUAACGUCUGUGAACAUCUGAGACAGAAUGACUCCAUAACAACUAAGUUAUUAUUAAUGCCCUGCAUGCCCUGGAGGGGUUUGUACAAUGGCUGAACAUCUAAUGGCCAGUAUAUGUACUGUUAAAUGUUUUUUAGCUUGACAAAUACUGUAACAAAAUCAAUUUUGUAUUAAACAUCUGAAGUUAUGGUAGAGAAUACACAGUAUGCUGUAGU